GACGAACGCUGGCGGCGUGCUUAACACAUGCAAGUCGAACGAAGAGCGAUGGAAGCUUGCUUCUAUCAAUCUUAGUGGCGAACGGGUGAGUAACGCGUAAUCAACCUGCCCUUCAGAGGGGGACAACAGUUGGAAACGACUGCUAAUACCGCAUACGAUCUAAUCUCGGCAUCGAGGAUGGAUGAAAGGUGGCCUCUACAUGUAAGCUAUCACUGAAGGAGGGGAUUGCGUCUGAUUAGCUAGUUGGAGGGGUAACGGCCCACCAAGGCGAUGAUCAGUAGCCGGUCUGAGAGGAUGAACGGCCACAUUGGGACUGAGACACGGCCCAGACUCCUACGGGAGGCAGCAGUGGGGAAUCUUCCGCAAUGGACGAAAGUCUGACGGAGCAACGCCGCGUGAGUGAUGACGGCCUUCUGGUUGUAAAGCUCUGUUAAUCGGGACGAAAGGCCUUCUUGCGAAUAGUGAGAAGGAUUGACGGUACCGGAAUAGAAAGCCACGGCUAACUACGUG
rnacentral:rRNA from 1 species